GCCCAGCCAGUAAAGUGGAUAUGACCCUCGGCUUGUAACCGAGUGGGUUCGGGUUCGAAUCCCGAGUAAGGCA
rnacentral:tRNA from 1 species